rnacentral:rRNA from 1 species
UGGGGAAUCUUGCACAAUGGGGGCAACCCUGAUGCAGCGACGCCGCGUGAGCGAUGAAGCCCUUCGGGGCGUAAAGCUCUUUCGACCGGAACGAUAAUGACGGUACCGGGAGAAGAAGCUGCGGCUAACUACGUGCCAGCAGCCGCGGUAAUACGUAGGCAGCAAGCGUUGUUCGGAGUUACUGGGCGUAAAGAGUGCGUAGGCGGUUUUCCAAGUUCGGUGUGAAAUCUCCCGGCUUAACUGGGAGGGUGCGCCGAAGACUGGGAAGCUGGAGUGUGGGAAAGGCAGGCGGAAUUCCUGGUGUAGCGGUGAAAUGCGUAGAUAUCAGGAGGAACACCGGCGGUGUAGACGGCUUGCUAGACCAUAACUGACGCUGAGGCACGAAAGCGUGGGUAGCAAACA